CAUUCUAAUUGGGGGUUAGGUGUAAGAGGAACAUGAGUUAGGUCUAGCCUUGGGAUUUUAGGUACCGAUGAAUCAUGUGUAGUAGUUGAAUACCAGUUAGGAUACAGAUAAAUGGAGCUAAGGGGUAAGGGGAUCCUGCGCCUAGCUUACGCUUUAUCAUCCAAUCCUCCACUUUUAUGUCGAAUGGCGUUAACGGCUUCACGACGUUCACUACAACGAAUACGGUCACUUCAAGCCGGCCACCAACGGAACGACUAGAGGCUAAGCGAAUGGUGGCGCGACCAAACUCUCACCUUCUCACCUAUCUCUCGCCACUACUUUCCACUCCCAUUAAUAACGGCCGCGAAGUCGUUUGUUUGCUGAAGAACUUGCACCGAGGAACACACGUCGGCGGCGGCGGGUGCACAUAGGGCGCCCGAACAGAUACUUUUUUAACGGCUAAACCUACAAGGAUCGACAGAACCGAUCCUCGACACAAUUCAAAACACGCUACGUCCGGGUUGUCACUUGUGUUCGUUCGUUUGUUGGUUAAAAGAAAGGUGCGUCCGGACCAACCGGAGAUACGCCCGAUGGUUUGUGUGGACUGGAACCCCCUUUACUUCGGUAGGUCUAGUAAUGAAAGAAUAGCGCCUACACACGAGCAGCCAAAAACAAUUAACAAUACGAACGGGCAAACGGUUGGACUUGCAACAUCGUUGAGCACAACAACCAGGACGUGAGACACAGCGGACAACAACCAGGGAGACAACAAGACAGGUUAGAUCGAUAGAAGUUAAAAAUCUUAAAUCAAGAGAGCGUCACAAGUUUUUGUAGCUAACCCGGGACAACUACUGGACGCUGACGUUCUCGUACUAUCAAGGUUCUCUUCGUAAUAAUUAUAUCACUAUGUUACCGCUGCUUAGGUUCGGCAACCAAUAGACUUGGGCCUCCACAGUAAAAAAAAGUCUCAAGGGAACAAGGCAGGCAGUUACAAGAACAAAAGUCUCACGUGGACGAGGCUGCCUUCAACCGUCGAGGUGGCCUCUUCUUCUGCGGGCGUUGUCGGUCACUGGCGCAGUGGUGGCGGCAGAGGAAGGAGUGGGUGCUCCGAGCAAGAGGGAGGGAGUUGGCGUGACUUUGGUAUCGAUCAAGGUGGAUAGAAACAAAAGAAAAACAAAACUACUUAGCGAAGAACCGGUGAAGCAGAGACUAGAGUAUUGGGUGCCAGCAAAGACACUUAAAAAAUCACCUAUGACAACAUCCUUCAUUGUGAGACCAAUGGGUGGACUCCGGUCUUGAUGUCAUCUAGAUCACCUAACUAGGUUCGUCCGUUCGUAAAGCUGAGUUGAUCGAUGGACUAGUGUGUUAAUUGGACAUAAGACAAAACUAAUCACUCGUUUAAACUCAGGGGACUUUACCUUAUUUCUUCUUGUUUAAACUGGUCUCCUUUCAACGUAAAGCUUUGGAGACUUGUUGUAAAGUUACGUAUUUUUUCAACAUAGACAGUCUCCCGAUGUCGACGUGUGUGAACAGCCAAAAUAAAUCUCAUACGACGAUCGGCUUUCCACCGUGAUAUGUAGAAAGAGUACAAGACUACUUACAUGACUAAAGUGUGUGUUUUAGAAGUUCAAAUUGUGAAAUUGACCUCCCUUGGAGACAUUCGUUCAAAAAAGCGCAAGACCCAAGAUUAUCUAACAAGACUUAGACCUGUACUGUACGGGUGGCUUUAUUAUAGUACGAGGAACAUACCGCUAGAGUAGAUGGUGACGCUGCCUAUAGCAGUGUGGUAGCUACACAAGUACCCGUGGUCUAGCACCCUAAGUUACUCGUCGAGGAAGAGAGCCUACCGAAACCCUCGUAUAUUCUAGACGUCGACCGGGGAGCCGAACCAGCCCUCCUCUAAAAAUUGUGGACGCUAGGUCCUGUCCUCACUCGUGGUCCUACUCCUUCCUACCGACCUUUCUACCUCCGACCACUAAACACCACUGUACGAAGAGUACGUGUUACGAAACCGAGAUGACGGAGUUGUAGAGGGUGUUCACUGCGGCCUCGAGGAGCCGCGACGCCGGUUGGAGGCCUACCGGUAACUCCAUGGCCGCCGUGCGGCCGUGCUACAAGAGGCUGUGCCGGUAGGCCUCCAGCCGGGACUCGUGGGUACCGGGGACGACCGCGGGGAUAGAGGCGUUGACUCUCGCAAGUCCCGAGGCCCGAAGUGCAGUUCCGCGCUGUGGUGCCCGUGGGUACUUUGAGCGUCCUGAAGAAGGAAGGGAAGAUUCGUUGUCUAGGGGUAGAAGGAGGAAGGAGGGAAGCGAUGGGUCUAGGUGGCGCUCGUCCCGUGCAAUGUAGACCAUAGUCUCCAGGUCGGGUAGCUAGACCUCUGGCGUAUGGGGUUCGGGGCGAUGGUGUGGUUUGUUCGUGAGUUCUGCCUCCGCUACCUCCUCGUUGAGCGGCGCGAGUAGUUCAACCAGUUGCUGCCGUCUCACCGGUCGCUCCGGCCUAAGCUGCGCUAGGUCUGCAGCAACCUUGAGACCUCCGGCCGCCACAGGGUAGAGGUCGUCGUUCACCUACUCGACGCAUGGGUUCACCCCGCGUAGCGGGAAGUGGGCUGGGAUCGCCGCGGAAGCCUAGGCUAGGGCCUCCCGUUGCGCCACCACGCUAGCCGCCGCUGCCGUCGAUGCUCUCGCAGGGGCUGGUGGUGCCCGGUGCUCCAGCACCGCUCUAGCUGCUGUGGCCCCCAGUCUGUAUACCGCACCAGUGGUGGGUACACGACGGAGGCCAGUUCCAUAAAAAGUCAGAUACCACAAGUGAGUCUAGAUACCCACGCACACCGAUGGGAAGUGAAGUGGCCGUUGCGCAGUGCAACCAACGUUAACGUACUCAGUGUCUCACUUAGUUACAGCACCCUCCUUAACAUACGCCGUGAUACGCCGUUUAAACGGGCCCUCGUCAUAGUUCGAGUGAACUUAGUCAAGGCGCGUGACGCAGUCUGUCCGUGACACGUGUUAAUGUACGACGUUAAGCUCCUUGAGUACGUGGUCAAUGAACGUGUAUUAGGAAGUAAACUAGGACACAAGAAGUGAUGGGUUAAAAACCUUCCUAACUCUGUACUUUAAGCCCGAUCACAUCAAGAAGUGGUUGGUUUCCUGAACCUGAGACGAAAAAGGAACCGAAGCUACGUCCUCCUCGAUGACCUCCGCAACGGCUCCGCCCUCAUGGCAGCCGUCCUCCCCGGUCACGUCGCACCUCCGCGAGCCGGCGACUAUCGCGAGUCUCGUGGUGGUCGAGCGGAACGUCACGGCCCUCGCGGCCAACGCCGACUUCUGUCUGCGCCGCAGCUGCGCCGGUUAGGUGGUCUGGCAGGCGCCCGUCUAAGACCGUCAAGAGUAUCAAAACACUCACUUCGUCACCGGCGACGUUACGGAGCAGCCCACGUCUUCUGGUUAACAAGCAGACAAUUCUAACGACUACCUCCUUAAGAAGUUACACUGUCAUACUAGGGAGCCACGAGUACCUGUUGCGUUCCCGUUCACAAACUUUGACUGGAGGCCCACGAUAGCAACCCGACAAUACUACAACAACGCCCGUACCUGACCGAUGUCGCGACACCUGGAUACACCUAGCUGACCCUCGUCUUCGCCAACGUCAAAAUC
rnacentral:rRNA from 1 species